AUUGAACGCUGGCGGCAGGCCUAACACAUGCAUGUCGAACGAGUGGCGGACGGGUGAGUCAUGUCUGGGAAACUGCCUGCUGGAGGGGGAUAACUACUGGAAACGGUAGCUAAUACCGCAUACCAUCAGAUGUGCCCAGAUGGGAUUAUCUUGUUGGUGGGGUAACGGCUCACCAAGGCGACGAUCCCUAGCUGGUCUGAGAGGAUGACCAUCAACACUGGGACUGAGACACGGUCCAGGAUCCUACGGGAGGCAGCAGUGGAGAAUAUUGCACAAUGGGCGAAAGCCUGAUGCAGCCAUGCCGCGUGGAUGAAGAAGGCCUUCGGGUUGUAAAGUACUUUCAGCGGGGAGGCGUUACCCGCAGAAGAAGCACCGGCUAACGGCGUGCCUGCCGCCGCGGUAAUUC
rnacentral:rRNA from 1 species